rnacentral:lncRNA from 1 species
CGCCUAUGGUAGUGCCUGGAAUUUUAAGACCCAUCCAAAACAGACAGUGAUUUGGGCUCACUUUGUAGAGAGAGGACUCUCUGUUCCUACAUCAGAGUUCUUUAGAGAUAUCCUCAACUUUUAUGAUCUUCAGCUUGUUCAUCUGAAUCCCAAUGGGAUAUUGAAAUGUGUCUGAUUUGGUAGACCGAUAGUGGUUUCCCCUCG